rnacentral:sRNA from 1 species
GCUGGGCAUGGUGGCACAUGCCUGUAAUCCCAGCAGCUGGGGAGGCUGAGAGAGGGGAAUCACGAGUUCAAAGCCAGCCUCAGCAACUGUGAGAUGCUUAGUAACUCAGUGAGAUCCUGUCUCUA